rnacentral:rRNA from 1 species
AUACGGAGGAUGCGAGCGUUAUCCGGAUUCAUUGGGUAUAAAGGGUGCGCAGGCGGCCAUUUAAGUCAGCGGUUAAAUCGUGGGGCUCAACCCCAUUCUGCCGUUGAUACUGGGUGGCUUGAUUGCGGUCGAGGUUGGCGGAAUUCGUUGUGUAGCGGUGAAAUGCAUAGAUAUGACGAAGAACACCGAUUGCGUAGGCAGCUGACCAGACCGCAAAUGACGCUCAUGCACGAAAGUGCGGGGAUCGAACAGGAUUAGAUACCCUGGUAGUCCGCACAGUAAACGAUGAAUACUUGUUUUCGGCGAUAUAAUGUCGGAGGCAAAGCGAAAGCGAUAAGUAUUCCACCUGGGGAGUACGCCGGCAACGGUGAAACUCAAAGGAAUCGACGGGG